AUUGACCAAUCAGAACAUGACACA
rnacentral:miRNA from 1 species